CAGCAGCCGCGGUAAUACGUAGGUCCCGAGCGUUGUCCGGAUUUAUUGGGCGUAAAGCAAGCGCAGGCGGUUUGAUAAGUCUGAAGUUAAAGGCUGUGGCUCAACCAUAGUUUGCUUUGGAAACUGUCAAACUUGAGUGCAGAAGGGGAGAGUGGAAUUCCAUGUGUAGCGGUGAAAUGCGUAGAUAUAUGGAGGAACACCGGUGGCGAAAGCGGCUCUCUGGUCUGUAACUGACGCUGAGGCUCGAAAGCGUGGGGAGCGAACAGGAUUAGAUACCCGCGUAGUCCCUGUCUCUUAUACA
rnacentral:rRNA from 1 species